ensembl:lncRNA
CGUCCGGCAGCGCCGCCAGGAACGAGGGGUCGACGCCCUCGGGGAGGCUGAUCCCUGUGCCCGCAGGGCCACCCGAGGGGACCGGCGUCACUGACGCGCAGCAGGGACGCGGCGGGGACACGCGGCGGGGAUGCACGCGGGUCACAGAGACGCGGCGGGAACAGGCGCGUGCCAGAGAUGCACGUGCAUGCAUCAGGGAUGCUUUGGGAGCGUGCACAAGUCACGGACACACGUUACGGACGUGUUGGGGACACGUGUGUCGGGGACACCUACCAGAGACGCACCUGGGACACGCCCACCCACCAGGGACGCGUGCCAGGGACACGCACACACUAGAGACAUGCACGUGUCAGGGACACGCGUCAGGGACACGCGUCAGGGACACGCGUCAGGGACACGCGGGAGGCCUCAAGGGAAGAGGAGAAGCGAUAGGGAGCAGGCGCGUGGCGGGGACUGAGCCCUGAGGGAGGCUCAUCCCAGCGGCAGGGGUGGGGGCCGCGGCGGGGGCUGCGGACAUGGCGGCAGUGGGGCUCACCGGCGAGCGGGUCCUCCUCCUCGCUGCUGGUGGAGGGCAGCGGUUCUUCCAGGAUGCCCCGCGAGUCAGCGCCCGAGAUGGCGGCGGCCGAGUCCCGCGUGGACGAGCUCUCCGAGGAGGAGGCAGGCGGCGAGCUGAGGCGGGGGGGGGAACGGCAUCAGCAGGGAUGUGCGGAGCCGCCCCCCCGGAGCAGGGCCCAGGCGCCCAGGGCGCUCACCUGUCAUCGGGCGGGUGGGCGGUGUCGGGGGGUGCCGGGGGGGCAGAGGGGGGAGGCCCUGGCGGUGCCCCAGCCCCCGCGGCGGCAGCGGCGGCCUCCUCCAGGGCGCAAGAGGCGAUGCUAGAGGUGUCCAUGGGCGAGCCCUCCAGCUGGCUGCUCCCCGCCGUCAGCGCGUCUGAGUCCUCCGCGCGCUCCGGCGACAGCGAGGCUGCAAGGGGCAGCGGCCAUCAGCAGCUGCCCCCGGCACUGCCUGCCCGCCCGCUGCCCGCGGCGGGGCCCAGGCAUCCGGCACUCACUGACGGUGGGGGCAGGCGACAGCUCCAUCUGGGUGGCCUCGGCGUCAGGCCUCCAUGGCGUGCUCCCGCGUGAAACCCAUGUCCAUCAGCUGCAGGGGCACAAGGAGGGGGACAGAGAGGGGGACGGGAGCACGGCCGUCACCACCUGAGGCGUGGGACAGCCGCCCCGCUCUCCAGCGCGUCCGGCUCCUUCCCCAGCGCCCCCCGCCCCGACCAGAGCCAGCGCCAGAGCCAGAGCCAGCGCGGGGGGGCCCGGCCACCCUACGGGUGUCCCCCGCCGCGUCCCCACCUGCUGCAGCUGCUGCUGGUUGACCUGGGGCUCGCGACGGGGGCCGGCGUCAUCAGCACCAGGCUCCUCCUCGCCCCUCGGCCCCUCGCGCUCCCGGCCCAGGCGUUCCCGGAUGAGAGGCUCGCCCCGCAGGAUGUGGCACAGGAUGGCCAACAUGGACUCCGCCAUGCGGCCCCCGUACACCUUCAGYGGGCGCCGGUUCCACAGCUGCUUGAUGCACGUGAACGCUGCCUGCAGGGCGCAGGGUUAGGGGGGCCCGGGGCACCCUGCGUCCCCCCCUCCUCUCCCCCAAGUCCCCACGGUGCCCUCUGCGUCUCCCCCACAUCCCCCCGCAUCGCCACAGUCCCCUCCGCAUCUCCCCCAAGUCCCCCCGUGUCUCUCAUAUCUCCGCAUGGCCCUGCAGUGCUAAGUCCCUCCCACGUCCUUGCAGUCCCCCCGCAUCCCCCUGAGCCCCCCCGCACCUUCUGGGUGACGACCAGGAAGCGCAGGGCGCUGAAAUGGGGCUGCCCAGGCCCCGGCGCCUUGGCAGGCAGCGCGUGUGGCGACUCCAGCACGGUGCUGGGGUUCACCAUCUUCUCCACCAGCAUGAGCCAGGCGUCCAGGAACUCGCCGGUGCCGUCCGGCAGCUCGGGGUGCUCCAGUCCCUCCGCCACUGGCACCUUCCCCCCCAUCGACAGCGCCCAGUUGAAGGUCCUGGGGGCAGGGGUGAGUGAUCAGCUGGGGGGGGCUCCGGCGUCCGGCCCCCUCCCUCCC